AUGCCCAAAAGUAUUUCUUCCCAAGGUUCUCAUACCCUGUGCAAGAGUCGGUCCUGGUCCAGACACAGCAGGAUCUUCACUCAGCUCCUGGGCCUCCUGCUGCUCUGGCUCCAAGGUGUCAGAUGUGACAUCCAGAUGACUCAGACUCCAUCUUCCUUGCCUGCAUCUGUGGGAGACACAGUCACCAUCAAGUGUAAGGCCAGUCAGGGUAUAAUCAAUGCUUUAAAUUGGUACCAUCAGAAACCAGGGAAAGCUCCUCAACUGAUGAUUUAUGCUGCAAACAGUUUGGGAUCUGGGGUUCCUUCGAGGUUCAGUGUCAGUGGAUUUGGGACAGAUUUCGCUCUUGCCAUCAGUAGCCUACAGCCUGAAGAUGUUACUACCUAUUGCUGUCAACAUGGUUAUGGUACCCCUCCCACAGUGAUACAAUCCAUGACAAAAACAGCCACGGAAACAGAUGUGUGAGGCUGGGCUGCCCCAGCUCAUCUCCACUGCAGCUGUACUCAACUGCUGAGAGCAUUUCUCUGAACAAGCCAGGCUUGAAUGCUCCUUUGAAGCUUUAGAAGAAGGACCAAGACUCUCCUCUACACCCUUAUUCUCUUUCCUUUUUUUAGCUACUAAAGCACAGACAGUCCAGCUCCUGUCCUAAUUCAGUGAAGGCCACAGAUGAGCACCUCUGAGCACUGUGGGUUAUGGCAUAAUUUUGGAUUCAGACAGCAACAUAGAAGCCCUUCUGUUUUCUAAGCAAGGAUUUUUAAAGACUUCCUUCAAUUGUUAGUGUAGAUUUGUUCAUUGAAGUUUGAAAUACAGAGGUGGCCCUGACUACCCAGUACACAUGGCUCUGCAGUCUAUCAUCAACAACCAAGGACGACUUUGUUACAAACCAUUAAGAUCCAUAAGUGUGCAAAGUCUGUAGUUUGCAUGAAGGUUCACUAUUGCUGCUAAAGAUUUCACAAAGGGAAACAAAUGUGCAAUAACACACAUGCAGCGUUUGCUACUGUGCAAUUUUGUUUCACUGCCAUAAAAAUUCUCCACCCUAAAAAUUAUCCCUGUUCAUUCUCCACCAAUUCCUGCCAGUCAUUUGUGUUUUAUCAUCACAUUGUUUAUCCUUUUCCAAAUGACAAAAUCUUGCCUUUAUAACAUAGAAGUUUUUGAAAGACAAUCUCAGAAUACACUGUACUGAGAAAUACAAUAAUUAAAAAUAUUGAGUAACACCUCUUUGUACUUACAAGUUUCUCUUUAUCCCUUCUGUGUCCUCUGUUCAAGACAUGGACGCCUU